rnacentral:rRNA from 1 species
CAAAUUGGGUGGUAGACUUCACCUAAGGCUAAAUAUCAGCGAGAGACCGAUAGCGAACAAGUACUGUGAGGGAAAGAUGAAAAGCACUUUGAAAAGAGAGUUAAAUAGUACGUGAAAUUGUUGAAAGGGAAACGAUUGAAGUCAGUCAUGCUAGUGAAAAUUCAGUUUGACGGGUUUUAGGUUUAGGAGUAAGAGGUAGGGUCAAACCGUCUCUCUUUUAAACUUGGAAUUUGUCGGAUGCACUUUUUCUUUGGCAGGUCAGCGUCGAUUUCGGGGGUUGUAAAAUACAUGGGGAAAAGUAGCUCUGCCUCGGGAGAGUGUUAUAGACCCUAGGAGAUGCAGCCUGCGUGAUCGAGGAUUGCAGCAAAUGCCUUUGGCUUGUCGCCUGAUCUCUGGACGUUACCUCGUUUGUGACAACAUUCUUAUCACCGAUGAGUACUAAUGGCUAUUAGGUUAGAACGAUCAAAAAUUUGCUAAGGAUGCUGGCGUAAUGGCUUUAAACGACCCGUCUUGAAACAUGGACCAAGGAG